rnacentral:rRNA from 1 species
UACGGGGGGAGCAAGCGUUGUUCGGAUUUACUGGGCGUAAAGGGCGCGUAGGCGGCGUGACAAGUCACUUGUGAAAUCUCCGGGCUUAACUCGGAACGGUCAAGUGAUACUGUCGUGCUAGAGUACAGAAGGGGCAACUGGAAUUCUCGGUGUAGCGGUGAAAUGCGUAGAUAUCGAGAGGAACACCGGUGGCGAAGGCGGGUCUCUGGGCAGUAACUGACGCUGAGGAGCGAAAGCGUGGGGAGCGAACAGG